AUUGAACGCUGGCGGCAGGCCUAACACAUGCAAGUCGAACGGUAGCACAGAGAGCUUGCUCUCAGGUGACGAGUGGCGGACGGGUGAGUAAUGUCUGGGAAACUGCCUGAUGGAGGGGGAUAACUACUGGAAACGGUAGCUAAUACCGCAUAACGUCGCAAGACCAAAGAGGGGGACCUUCGGGCCUCUUGCCAUCAGAUGUGCCCAGAUGGGAUUAGCUAGUAGGUGGGGUAACGGCUCACCUAGGCGACGAUCCCUAGCUGGUCUGAGAGGAUGACCAGCCACACUGGAACUGAGACACGGUCCAGACUCCUACGGGAGGCAGCAGUGGGGAAUAUUGCACAAUGGGCGCAAGCCUGAUGCAGCCAUGCCGCGUGUAUGAAGAAGGCCUUCGGGUUGUAAAGUACUUUCAGCGGGGAGGAAGGUGUUGCGGUUAAUAACCGCAGCAAUUGACGUUACCCGCAGAAGAAGCACCGGCUAACUCCGUGCCAGCCGCCGCCGUAA
rnacentral:rRNA from 1 species